rnacentral:lncRNA from 1 species
UGGAUCUACUUCUAUGCUAAGUAAUAAAGUUGUGACUGAAGUUCUUCAACGUAUUGUUUUCCUCUGAUCCCGUUUGGUUCAAGUUUUUCCUGCACGUCACCAUCAAACAUUUUCUAGCAUUUAUGCAUUUUACCAUUCUUAGAUAAUUUGUUUCCUGACAUUUCCCCCUUCUCUUAAGUCAUUUUUCUUCUUGCAUCUGAACAGUGCUCUCUCACAUAGCUUCCAUUUUCUCUUUUACAGGGAACAGUGCUUCCUUGAACACUUUUGUGAAUAUCAAUUUCUUUCUAGCAUUUAUUUCUAGUUUCUAUAAUCUCUUGUUUUGUGAAGCACAGCUCCUGGCUAUCUCAGUCAGCUGCCAAAUCCACCUCAUGGUUUUGAUAGUUAUUUUGUAUGCUCAACAUUGGCAUUUAUUUUGUAUUUAAAAUAAUUAUUUGGUUUGAGUUUUCUGAGAAGAUUUUUUUUUUUGCUUUUGUCAUUUAUUUGGUUCAUUUGGUUGUUAUUUAUUUAUUUAUUUAUUUAUUUAUUUUUGAGUUAAGAGUUUUACUGUAUACCCCAGGAUAGCCCAGAUCUCAUUAUUCUCCAAUAUCAGUUUCAUGAUUGGAGGGAUAGCAUCUACAUGCCAGUAGAACAGGGUUGGUCUUAUUUAUUUUUACAUUAUUUCCCAGGACACUCCCACUAACCACACUCCCCAGUGUCAGUUUAGAUAGUAAGCACAAUCUCUUGUUCCAGCACAUCAUACAAUAGUAAUUUUAAGAACUUUCUCAAUGUAAUGCUGAUGAUCAGGUCCUUUAAUGUAUUCCUAAUAUAUUUAUCAAUUUCUGCCAAGUUUUGCCUCUUAUCCCUCGCUUUACUUGUGAGGGUAUGUUUUGUAUAACCAUGACAACAUUCUGGUACUCUCAAGUCAUACAAAUGCCUUUUUGUAUACUAUGAUUGAUCAGUUUCCAAACAUGUUCUGGAUGCCACAGCUGUCAAUCAGGAUGUAGUUGCAGAGCUGUUUCCUCUGAGAUCUACAUUCUAGGACCUCACUGCUCCAUUGGUUUUCAGUUGUUUUCUUAGGUCAGACCUGUCUACUUGGCUAUGGAGACUCCUAAGUGGUAAGUAAACAAAGCCAUAUUUAGGCCAAUUCCACCACAGUAGCUGGCAAACAGAAUAGCAAGUGAUUUUCCUCUAGAUACAACAGCCUUGAGGGGUAAUUUUUAAGCUGUUCAAAGAAAUAAAACUUAGAACUCCAACUCAUCAUGGAUAAAGAAAACCAAAACACUCCUAUAUCCAAUGUGAUGCCUGAUUAUGAGUUUCUUCAACUCUUCUACAUCUGAGAAUCUGUGAAGUAGCCCAAGAAUCCAUAUGGUGUAGUGGGAAGAACAAGAUAUUUAAAAGCAAACUCUAGUUUUCAAAUCCCAAUCAGAACACUCAGCUUAUCUGUCUUCACUUCCUCACUUCCAAAUGUACUGAAGCUAUAUCUUCCCCACCAAAGAUUUCUGGGAGUGUUAAUUAGUAACAAAAAACCUGAAGUUGUACACAAGGCAAGUGAAGUACCAUAGCAAAGCUUCCAUAGUUCCUCGCGACCAUUCAGAGAGCAAUGAAGUACUCAGAGUUUGUCCUGCCCACAAGAGGUACAGGGGUAAAACAGGGAGCAGGAUUUAAGGGAAGGACACGCCAACUGGCCCAGCUUGAUACCCAUGCCAUGAGAGGGAGCCCACCCCAACAUUAUUAAUGAUACUCUGCUAUACUUUCAGACAGGAGCCUAGCAUAACUGUCAUCAUAGAGGCUUCAUCCAGCAACUGAUGGAAACUGAUGCUGAGACCCACAGCCAGACAGGUUGAGUUUGAGGAAUCCUGUGGAAGAGAGGGAAGAAUUGAAGGAACCGGAUCAGCAACAAGAAAACCUGCAGAAUCUACUAACUUGGGAUCACAGGGGCUCAUAGCGACAGAACUGUCAUCCAGAGAGCAUGCAUGGAACAGAUCUAGGCCCUCUACACAUAUAUAACAGUUGUGAAGUGGGGUUGUCAUGUGGGACUCCUAAAGCAGAAGCCGGGGCUAUCUCUGACUACAUUCCCGGCCUUUGAAUCCCUUUCCCCUACCUGGGCUGCCUUUUCUAGCUUCAAUAGCAGAAGAUGAGCCCAGUCUAACUGCAACUUUAUAUGCUAAGGCUGGUUCAUAUUCAUGGGAGGGACUUCCCUUACUGAGGAGAAUGAGAAAAGGAGUGGAUGGAAUGGAAGGGGAAAUAAGAGAGAGGGACUUGGAGGAAAAGAAAAAGGGGAAACUGCAAGCAGGAUGCAAAGUAAAUAAAUAACUUAAUUAAUAAAAAUAACUAAUGGAAAAAAAGAAAGAAAAACCAAAGGCCUCCAAUCAAAAUUCCAAGCUUCUUCUUUAAUUAAUCAAAAAUCAUAAUUUAACCACAAAACAAGAAGAGGAGAAGAAAACUUUAAAAAUGACAAUAGAAACAUGUAGCACAGGAAAAGAGUAGAUGAAAACCAAAGAAACCAACAUUGACAUUUUGGUAAGAUUACUAGACUUGGGAAAAGCCUAUUGUCAAGUUGUCAAGCCUAUUGAGAAAAAAAUAGAGACACAGAUGGUGGCUGAUGUUAGAAAUUGAAAAGGGACAUCAGUGUGGAUACUGUAGAUAUUAGAACAGUCUAAAAAACUACAACUAAUGGUUGAUAAAUAAAUGGUGAACCAUACAAAUUCUUUCAAACAUGUAACAUGAGAGCUUAUUCAAAAAUAGAUUCACAUAACUGUGUGUCUAUAUAAGGCUUCAAUUUAUGCAUCACUUGUAAAGCCUUCCAAAUAUCCAAGGCAGAAAUACCAAUUCUAUAUAAACUCUUCCAGAACAUGGAAGAAGCAAGAAAUGGUUUCAACCCAAUGUUUUAGCCCAGCUCAUUCGACUGGUGUUGUUCAGAUAUUCACAUCAAACAAUGAAAUGAAAUGAAAGAAGAUUUCAGAAGGCAGGGCAGCCUAGAUCACUGGUACAUGCCUUCAGUCUCGGGGACUCAGAAGACAUGAGGAUCUCCUCAGCCUAAAUGUUCAAUGCCAGUCUGAGAACUAGAGCAGAGCCUCAAAGAGAGGAGGCAGAAGGUAGAAGACAGCAAUGGAAGAUUCAAACCCUCAGGCAAUAGCAGUCAUAAAUAAAGAAGUAAAAAUAUCUAAACAAAUGACAGUAGAUGCCAAUGGCUGCAUUUAUUUUGCCUGUAUGAAAAUGGUUUUGCUUAUACAAUAUUGUAUUUCAUUUCUGACCACAUCUUCCAGUUCUUGCUUUCUAUUCAUUCUGCUCUUCCUGACUCUUAACUGUUUCUCUUUGUGUGUGUUUGUGAAUGAAAUGAAUUUGUGUAUUAUUGCUAUGUGUGUGUAUGUGCCUGUGUAUGGUUUGAAUGUGAGUUGUGCAUGCCAAGGUACAUGUGUGUACAUCAAAGGACAGCUUUAUGGGGCCAUAUUUCUCUUUCCACCUUUUUGUCAGUUCUAGUGAUUAGACUCAGUGCCGGACUCAGCAUGCCCAGCACACCUUUACCUUCUGGGAAUCUCGCUGGCCUCAUUGUCUGGAUUAUGACAGCAACUCUGCCACUUGCCUUCAGACUUUGCUUGUGUAUGGCCCAUGUACCUCCAUCAAAGUCUCCUUCCUCAAAUGCACUAUUGUGUAAGUCUAUGGGAUUGAUCAUAGAGAGGCUUAAAAAUUCCCAAAACACACACACACACACACACACACACACACACAUACAGAGAGAGAGAGAGAACCUUAAUUUAUAUUUUCUUCUAUCAUUAUACAUGUUCUGCACCCAGGAAUAUUCCAUAAUCAUAUUCUAACUAACACUAGAGACAUAAUUAUACAUAUAUAUUUGCUUGAAAUCUAAAUAUUAUGCUUCUACACUAAUUUUUAUUCCCUCUCCUUCACAUUUUGUGCUAUGUGGUUCUGUCAAAGUUUAUUCUAGGUUUAUUUAAUUUUAUUUGCAUGACUGUUUUGUCACAGUGUAGUUAAGUAGAUUUACUGAUAUAUUAGAAUAAAGCCUAAUGCAUCUGCUCCUCUUCGGUACGUGAGCUUCGCUUGGCAGCCCCUGAGCUUCUGUCCUUGUUUCUACUAGCAUCUUCAAAACUGACAUUAAGCACGGAUAUUAAAAUGAAAUAAAUGUCUGACACACGC